rnacentral:lncRNA from 1 species
CUUUGCGGGACGCGGUGAAAGCGUUUGCCCGUUUGGCCGCAGGAAAACGCCGGGAUGAGCAGUGAGGAAGUGACUUAGAAGUUAUUAAAAGCAGUUCUGGGACCCAGUGAGGCCCUGUAACCCAGCUGAACUCCACAUCUGCAGAGCCCCAGCUUGAAGACAAAAGAUCAGAGAACUUGAGAAACCUGGGAACAGGGGCAUCUUUGGAGCUUUGCCUUUAUUCACAGAAGUCUGAAAGUACCAUCAAGUAGAAGUUGUGUCUUCGUCCUCUUCUGCUUACUGGGAAGAACAUGGCUUCAAGGAUUUUAAGUUUCCAUUUAGUUUUGCAUGAACUCUGUGGGAAACAGAGCCCUUAACAGGGUCAGGAGUAACAAGCAGAGACUGAAGACGGUCAGGUUUGCUCCGUUUUCCCUCCCCCUCCAAAGGAAAGGAUUUACAACUCAGCCCUGUAACAGCUGUUGUCCAGUGUUGGCCGUCAAGAGAGAAGUAAAUAAAGUUAAGCUGCCGGUGCCAGACUGCAGGGCCUGGUGAAGCCGUGUGGGCGUGGUGGCCUCGGGAGGCUGCGCAGGACAGGACUGCAGGCAGGGCAGCGGGGCGCACCUUCAGGGCACAGCCUCG